AGAUAGAAAACCAGUUGACAUCAACUCUAACUUUAGCAUCUUUCUUUUAAGCAAAGUAGAAAGUGCUAUCAAGUUGGGGUAGAUGUUUGCUGA
rnacentral:pre_miRNA from 8 species